CGAAAGCCUGACGGAGCAAUACCGCGUGAGGGAUGAAAGCCUGUGGGUUGUAAACCUCUUUUCUCAAGGAAGAAGUUCUGACGGUACUUGAGGAAUAAGCAUCGGCUAACUCUGUGCCAGCAGCCGCGGCAAUACAGAGGAUGCAAGCGUUAUCCGGAAUCACUGGGCAUAAAGCGUCUGUAGGUUGCUUGCCAAGUCUGCUGUUAAAGAUCAGGGCUUAACCCUGGGAAAGCAGUGGAAACUAGUAGGCUUGAGUGUGGUAGAGGUAGAGGGAAUUCCUGGUGUAGCGGUGAAAUGCGUAGAUAUUAGGAAGAACACCGAUGGCGAAGGCACUUUACUGGGCUAUUACUGACACUCAGAGACGAAAGCUAGGGUAGCAAAUG
rnacentral:rRNA from 1 species